rnacentral:rRNA from 1 species
AUUGAACGCUGGCGGCAGGCCUAACACAUGCAAGUCGAGCGGAUGAAGGGAGCUUGCUCCUGGAUUCAGCGGCGGACGGGUGAGUAAUGCCUAGGAAUCUGCCUGGUAGUGGGGGAUAACGUCCGGAAACGGGCGCUAAUACCGCAUACGUCCUGAGGGAGAAAGUGGGGGAUCUUCGGACCUCACGCUAUCAGAUGAGCCUAGGUCGGAUUAGCUAGUUGGUGGGGUAAAGGCCUACCAAGGCGACGAUCCGUAACUGGUCUGAGAGGAUGAUCAGGCACACUGGAACUGAGACACGGUCCAGACUCCUACGGGAGGCAGCAGUGGGGAAUAGUGGACAAUGGGCGAAAGCCUGAUCCAGCCAUGCCGCGUGUGUGAAGAAGGUCUUCGGAUUGUAAAGCACUUUAAGUUGGGAGGAAGGGCAGUAAGUUAAUACCUUGCUGUUUUGACGGUACCAACAGAAUAAGCACCGGCUAACUUCGUG